AAGCAACGCGAAGAACCUUACCAGUCUUGACAUCCCGAUGCUAUUUCUAGAGAUAGAAGUUACUUCGGUACAUCGGUGACAGGUGGUGCAUGGUUGUCGUCAGCUCGUGUCGUGAGAUGUUGGGUUAAGUCCGCAACGAGCGCAACCCCUAUUGUUAGUUGCCAUCAUUCAGUUGGGCACUCUAGCGAGACUGCCGGUAAUAAACCGGAGAAGUGGGGAUGACGUCAAAUCAUCAUGCCCCUUAUGACCUGGGCUACACACGUGCUACAAUGGUUGGUACAACGAGUUGCGAGUCGGUGACGGCGAGCUAAUCUCUUAAAGCCAAUCUCAGUUCGGAUUGUAGGCUGCAACUCGCCUACAUGAAGUCGGGAUCGCUAGUAAUCGCGGAUCAGCACGCCGCGGUGAAUACGUUCCCGGGCCUU
rnacentral:rRNA from 1 species